rnacentral:lncRNA from 1 species
UUCAGUCAUAGAAUUCUAGGAAGGAAAUUCUGCUGCAACAUGGACAAAAUGAAGUGAAUGAAAGGAAGGAAAAAUGCUACAACAUGGCUGGACCUUGAUGACAUUAUGCUAAAUGAAAGAAUCCCCUCAUAAAAAGACAACUAUUGUGAUUCCAUACAUAUUAGACACCUACAGGCAUCAGCUUCAUCGAGACAGGAGGCAGAAUGGUGGUUACCAGGCCCCCAAGGUGGCAGUGAAGGGCAGUUAUUGUUUGAUGUGUUUUGCUUCAGUCUGGGAAGACAAGAACAUUCUGGAGAUGGGUGGUGAUGGUGGAACAGCAAUGUUGAGUGUACUUAAUGCCACUGACUGACCUUACACUAAAAGAUGGUCACUAUGGUAAAUUUACGUAAACUGUAUUUUUCCACAGUAAGAGAAAAUAGAUCUUUCACCCAGAGAGCAAGCCCUUUAUGUAAAUGAAUCAGGACAUCAGGCCUCUAAGGAGAUUUCUUUCUUUGAGACAGGGUCUCACUACAUAGUUCAGGCUGGUCUUAAACUCAUUAUGUAGCCCAGGCUGAGACAGGAGGACUGCCGUGCUACACUGUACCAGCCUGGGCUACGUUGUGAGGCCCUAUCGCAAAAAAAGAAAAAAAAAUAGAAAGGAGGAAGUUAAAAAAAUAUUAAAAGCAAAGGACUUCCUUUAAAUUCCUCUAAAAGAAUCUUCCGGUGGCUCCACAUUGCUCUCUUUGGAGCUCCACAGGGGACCCAUGAGACCCCAGCCCACCUCUCCCAGCCACCUCUUGAUCUCUUGUCCUUUCCCUCCUUGUACAAUAUGUCCAGCCACACUGAAAUCCAUAUGUACCCUCUGCACCCAGCAGGAUUGAGGAUUGAAUCCAGAGAGUGCUGAGCUAUAUUUCCAGCCCCAUAAAAAUUUAUUUUGAGACAUGUUCUUGCAAAGCUGCAAUCCUCCUGCCUCAGCCUCUUGAGUGGCUGGGAUUACAGGCAUGAGCCUGGGGAAUUCUGUUCUGUCUGCCUUUCCAGUUGCUCCCCCCUUGACCUGGAACCUUGUGCCCUUCGUGUAUUGCUGGUAGACAGUGUCUCUGAUGGGAAGACUUCUCGAACCCUGCCCUGCCCAGGUGUCCUGUGUCUUCAGCUCCACAGGUAGUCACCUCUGAGGCAGUCUUUCAGCUGUAUUCCUUUGUUUCUGGCACCCACUGGACUAUGGACUUCUUGAGGGAUGGAAAGAUGUUUUUGUCCUACUACGGAGUCCAGACCAUUUGAGCUGCUCAAACAAUAUUGAAAGAACGACCCCAGGUGUGGUGGCACAUGCCUGUAAUCCCAG